ACCACCAUUUUCACGAUGGUAACCUCAUUCCCCUUCGCAUUCCUUUCAAGCCUUAUCUCCUCUUUCUGUUUCUUUCAUCUUAUCUUCCGAAAAAAAUUAUAUUUCCUCUUUCCCCAUCACAACCACCAUUUUCACUAUGGUAACCUCUUUCCACUUCGUAUCCCUUUCAAGCCUUAUCUCCUCUUUCUGUUUCUUUCGCAUCCAUAAGCACACAAAUUUUCAAUUACCAUCGGAAACAGUUCAUUUAGGUAGUGUUUUGUUCACCUGAAUUUCACUUAUCUUAUCUUAUCUUAUUGGCCCUGAACCUAUCUUAUCUUAUCUUAUCAUAUCUUAUUGACUCUUAUCUUAUCUAUCCUAUCUGAACUUAUUAACCCUUAUCUUAUCUUAUUAACCCUUAUCUUAUCUUAUCUUAUCUUAUCUUAUUGAAACUUAUAGUAUUACCUUAUAUAAUAUUUACCUUACCUUAUCUUAUCUUAUCUUCACUACUACAAAAGUUGGAAUAAGAGACGCUGAAUAGAGAACGGUCAAGUAUGUUAAACGUUUUCUAGAAGUAUAGAGUACGCAUUUCUCUUAUAACAGUUGUAUGAAGAAAAGAAUAGAGAACUGUCACCUUACCUAACCGUCUUAUAUUAUUUACCAUAAUAAAAACAACUAUUUAAUUAAAAAUACUCGAUAAAAUACAAAGCUGUGUUUAUGAUAACUGUUGGGUAUUCUGGGUUUUAGAAAAAAAAAUCUAAUAAAAAAAAAGUUAAGAAUUUGUAUUAUUAGCGUGCUGCAAUACCCAGUCAACGAAACCUAAAAGCAAGAGUACUAAUUAUUCAAUUGAAACCUAAAGUAAAGUAAUUAUGCGGUAAUCCCCAAUGUACUUCCAAAAGCAAAAGCAAAUUCCAAAAUAAGAAAAAGAAAACUAAGAGCAAACAGAAGGCGAGAUUGAAACCCCGGAAAAUCAAAGGAUCGUCGCGCCUUAACCACCGCCGUCCACCAAUAUCCUCCAUUUACUGCCAACGCCUUUUCCCACCGCCUCCAGAAUUCCGGUGAAAGUCCUGUGUCCCGCCGCUUCCGUCAAUUCCGAGGGAAUACCAUCGCCGCCCUAAGGUAUGCGAGAGGCACUCUAAGACGCCUGUUGUUAUUGUUGCUGGGAAGGAGCAGCGGUUCUGCUAGCAAUGUACCAGGUAAACAAAAAUGAUACUCCUUCCGUCUCAAAAUAAAUGUCUUGAUAGACCAUUGAGUCAUUGACCUUGUUUAAGGUGAGCAGAUAAGAAACCACUCUAUAUAUUAAGUUGUUGGUGUUGAUUGUAGAAAAGUUGGUCUAUAUGAAAAUGUAGGUACAUAGAGUAAUGAAUUUUGAGUGCUGCACUGAUUCUGCUGCAUCACCUUUGGUAUGCUAUAUCUUUGCUUUUUGUUCCUGUCAUAGUAUAUACUGCAAUCCCUUAGGUUUCAGUCCCUUGAAGAGUUUGACGAGGUUAAGAGAAGCUGCAGAAAACGGUUGGAUGUACAUAAUCGACGUAGCAAGAAGAGACAGCCUGAAGCCUUUUACAUGCCUAAUUCUGUUGCUGCCUUUUUUGUCAUCUCAUACAAGUGAUAUAAUCAAUUCUCAUCUAACAAAGAUUUUAUGGCAAUAGCUACAUAUAUAUAUCAUGUUAGGACUUGUUUCUUGAAAAUCUAUAAAAUAUUCAAAAUGCAUUAGAUGUAAUGCUCCAGUAAUGAUCUAGCUAGGUGUUGUCUAAGUUUCUUGUUUUCAAUGAUUUAGAUGUUCAUUGGAGACGGAGCAAAUCUUGUAGGUGAUGCUUUUCCACUUGCAAAGAGAAGGCUCUUGCAUUAUAUUUAUUGAUGAAAUGGAUGCCAUUGGUACUAAGCGGCUUGACAGUGAAGUGUGAGUGGUGACAGGAAAGUGUAACGAACUAUGUUAGAGCUGCUAAAUCAGACAUAUUAUGUAACAACUACUGGGGAGCUUUCCAGGAUGGUUUGGAUUCGAAAAGCUCCUAUUCUCCAACAGAUAUUCGUUCUCUAAUAGUGACUCUUAAUUUUCUUGUUAUUUUGUGCUUUUACCUUGCAAAUUGAUUUGAUUUCCUAAAUCCUGAUUAAUCCAACAAAUAUAUACCUGACACUUUUGAGCAGUGUGAUUUGUUGUGACGAUUCUCUGCAAACAUAAUCAGAUGGUAGUUUAGAAGACUAGACAUGCAUUUAUAUGUUUUUAGUUGACACAGGGUUUUGUUUGAGGUUUAAUCCUUUUAUCUUUAUCUUUUGUUCACUAUAAUGUACUUCGUAUCUUAUAGGACUUGCAAGGACAAUCGACACCAUGCUUUUGCUGGUUGUUCAAUGACCAAAAGAAAUCUGAAGCUGAGAUCAAUGUUGAGUUGCAAAUAUCUGAUGAAGAGGAUGCUCGUGAUGGGCACUUAGGUUGCAAGGGUAGUGGUCUUGGGCAAUCAGUAGUCGUCAACUUGGAUGCUCAUGAAGUCUAACUUGUUUCUACACCGCAGUGGCAAGGCCCAGACAGUGGACGAGGUCUAAAAAGUCUCCUAAAGUUGUCAAGUUUGAGUAAACACUGUAAUUUCAUACGUUUAUUUGACUGUUUCUACUUCAAUAACUGGUAGCUGAUGAAUUUAGAUGUAUCUUUCCUCUCUAAGCAUGUAAUAGUCUAAUUGUAUUCUAGUGGCUCUAUAUAAUAUAUAUCUUAGAUUUUUCU